CAUCAGCAUCAAGAAGUAAAGCUCUCUAUUUUUUUAGUCAGAAAAAAGUAGUAGUCAAUAGCUUGCAAUUACCUUCAAGAGUCAUUGCUCUUUCUCUAGCCGGCUGUAGGAAUAAACCAAAACUCCUCUAAGGACCUUUAUGUGUUACGAAAAAUUAUAGUGAUCUUCUUCUCAGAUAUGCACACAAUCAUAGUAGCUAGACUAUCCAUUAUUCAAGCUUUAGAUGAAGGCUCAUUUGAAAAGCAACACUAUUUAUCGUGAAAGAAAGUGAUCACUAUCAUAAAAAGAGAAUGAGCAUUGCUAUUUUACGAGACUGACAAUUUACGAAGCUUAUCGCGAAGUGCAGCAACCAUUAGAUUCUUAUUUGGUGGAAAACAUAAGUGGUGGGAUGCAAAAGAGAGUUUUCCGCUACGGUCACUUAAUAUUCAUAUAACCGUUCGUGAUUAAUUUGGUAUGUAAACUUUUGCUACAAGUAGCAUUAGCCAAAGAGAAAAGAGCAUUGCUAUUUCUCGAGGCUAACAAUUCACAAAGCUUAUCAUGAAGUGCUCCAACCAUUAGAUUCUUAUUUGGUGGAAAACACAACUGGUGGAUGCAAAAGAGAGUUUUCCGUUACAGUCACUUAAUAUUCAUAUAAUGGUUCGUGAUUAAUUCGAUAUGUAAACUUUCGCUACAAGUAGCAUUAGCCAAAGAGAAAGAGCAUUGUCAUUUCUCUAGACUGACAAUUCACGAAGCUUAUUACGAAGUGCUCCAACCAUUA